UUAGACCCACUCUGCAUCCAGCCACAACUCUAAGCAGGUGCUUUUUCCAUCUAUCACAGCAGCUUUCCUGGGUACUGUGGCCACUUGGACCCAAACUGUCCUUUGAUGUGACUGCCUCUGGGCAUACAGGG